rnacentral:rRNA from 1 species
CUACGGGAUGCACCAGUGGGGAAUAUUGCACAAUGGAGGAAACUCUGAUGCAGCAACGCCGCGUGGAGGAUGACACUUUUCGGAGCGUAAACUCCUUUUAUAUAGGAAGAUAAUGACGGUACUAUAUGAAUAAGCACCGGCUAACUCCGUGCCAGCAGCCGCGGUAAUACGGAGGGUGCAAGCGUUACUCGGAAUCACUGGGCGUAAAGAGCGUGUAGGCGGGUUAAUAAGUCAGAAGUGAAAUCCUAUGGCUCAACCAUAGAACUGCUUUUGAAACUGUUAACCUAGAAUAUGGGAGAGGUAGAUGGAAUUUCUGGUGUAGGGGUAAAAUCCGUAGAGAUCAGAAGGAAUACCGAUUGCGAAGGCGAUCUACUGGAACAUUAUUGACGCUGAGACGCGAAAGCGUGGGGAGCAAACAGGAUUAGAUACCCGAGUAGUC